UACAUAGGGUGCGAGCGUUAUUCGGAUUUAUUGGGCGUAAAGAGCUCGUAGGCGGUUCGAUAAGUCGGGUGUUAAAUCCACAGGCUCAACCUGUGGCAGCCAUCCGAAACUGUCGUGACUAGAGUUUGGUAGGGGAUCACGGAAUUCCUGGUGUAGCGGUGGAAUGCGCAGAUAUCAGGAGGAACACCAGCAGCGAAGGCGGUGAUCUGGGCCAAUACUGACGCUGAGGAGCGAAAGCGUGGGGAGCGAACAGG
rnacentral:rRNA from 1 species